UAAAGAAAUAAAACAAGGUUUCCCCUAUAACGGCGAGCGAAGCGGGAAGAGCUCAAAUUUGAAAGCUGGCACCUUCGGUGUCCGCGUUGUAAUCUCGAGACGUGUUUUCCGUGUGGCGCUAUGGACAAGUCCCUUGGAACAGGGCAUCGUAGAGGGUGAAAAUCCCGUACUUGCCAUGGCUGUACCAUGCUUUGUGAUACACGCUCUAAGAGUCGAGUUGUUUGGGAUUGCAGCUCAAAAUGGGUGGUAGACUCCAUCUAAAGCUAAAUAUCGGGGAGAGACCGAUAGCGAACAAGUACCGUGAGGGAAAGAUGAAAAGCACUUUGGAAAGAGAGUUAAAAGUACGUGAAAUUGUCGAAAGGGAAGCGCUUGAAGUCAGCCAUGCUGCUUGAGACUCAGCCUUGCUUUUGCUUGGUGUAUUUCUCGGUAGCAAGCCAGCAUUGGUUCGAGUCGUCGGAGAAGGGUAUGAGAAAUGUGGCAUCCUCGGAUGUGUUAUAGACUUGUACUGGAUACGACGAUUGGAUCAAGGAACGCAGUGUGCCUCUGGCGGGUCUUCGGACACCUUCACACUUAGGAUGCUGGCGUAAUGGCUUGAAGCGGCCCCGUCUUGAAACACGGACCCA
rnacentral:rRNA from 1 species